GCAUUAGUAGCUCAGCGUCACGAGCAUCG
rnacentral:tRNA from 2 species